GACGAACGCUGGCGGCGUGCCUAAUACAUGCAAGUUGAGCGCUGAAGGUUGGUCCUUGUACCAACUGGAUGAGCAGCGAACGGGUUAGUAACGCGUGGGGAAUCUGCCUUUGAGCGGGGGACAACAUUUGGAAACGAAUGCUAAUACCGCAUAAAAACUUUAAACACAAGUUUUAAGUUUGAAAGAUGCAAUUGCAUCACUCAAAGAUGAUCCCGCGUUGUAUUAGCUAGUUGGUGAGGUAAAGGCUAACCAAGGCGAUGAUACAUAGCCGACCUGAGAGGGUGAUAGGUCACAAUGGGACUGAGACACGGCCCAAACUACUGCGGGAGGCAGCAGUAGUGGAUCUUCGGCAAUGGACGAAAGUCUGACCGAGCAACGCCGCGCGAGUGAAGAAGGCUUUCGGAUCGUAAAACUCUGUUGGUAGAGAAGAACGUUGGUGAGAGUGGAAAGCUCAUAAAGUGAAGGUAACUAACCAGAAAGGGACGGCUAACUACGUG
rnacentral:rRNA from 1 species